GAUGAAGAACGCAGCGAAAUGCGAUAAGUAAUGUGAAUUGCAGAAUUCAGUGAAUCAUCGAAUCUUUGAACGCACAUUGCGCCCGCUAGUAUUCUGGCGGGCAUGCCUGUUCGAGCGUCAUUACGCCCCUCAAGUCCCCUGUGGACUUGGUGUUGGGGAUCGGCGAGGCUGGUUUUCCAGCACAGCCGUCCCUUAAAUUAAUUGGCGGUCUCGCCGUGGCCCUCCUCUGCGCAGUAGUAAAACACUCGCAACAGGAGCCCGGCGCGGUCCACUGCCGUAAAACCCCCCAACUUUUUAUAGUUGACCUCGAAUCAGGUAGGACUACCCGCUGAACUUAAGCAUAUCAAUAAGCGGAGGA
rnacentral:misc_RNA from 1 species